ensembl:lncRNA
CUUCCAGGCAGCCAAGACCCCCUCGAAGUGGUAAUGAAAAGUGUAACUUUAGCCUCCCAGCUGUACGUCUCAAUCCAUAAUCCUUCCCCAAAAACCUCACCGUAGUGCCGCCUACCACUCCCAUGGCGUUCCCAGCCUGUGCCGGGCUGGGCCUGUACUCUGAUUUAUGAGGCAGUCCUGUGUCAUACUCUCAACCUGAAAAGGAUUUCUUCUCUUAUGUGUACCAGGGUGGUCAGGGCAGCUCUCUGGAAAGACAGAAAGCCCCGUCUCCCGGGCCUCAAUCACCAGAGAGUCUUCUCACCCCUCUGAGCCAAUAACCAGGACAUUUUGGACAUUACCAGAAUCAGACGAGUCUUCAGUGUUUCAAUAGUGGUGUGUUUCAGCAGUGCAGAGGUCAGAGUCCAUGCAACCCGUGCCUACACAGCCGCAUGGCCAUAAUUUGGUAUGCAGAUGCACAGACGCAGCUUGCGCAAAGACAUCUAAACCCCGGGAAAUUACCCUCCGAGGACGGACGGCUUGAAAUUGAUGCCAGAGCAGAAGAGCGCACCUUGCUCCCCGCUCUCCUUUGUCACACCCAGAAAUUGCUCAAUUUCCCAGGAUGAGGUCUCCAUGGCUGGAGAAAAAAAAAAAAAAGAAGAAAAACCUGACAGAGACGCCGACGCGACCCCUUCCAUCGCUGCUGCCCUUGACGAGUCAAGAAAUGGAUCCUGACAGCCUCUACAGCAUUUAGCACCACAAUUAUCCCCUUUUCACAGCCUGGCUGCAUUAAUGUAAACCACACCAGGCAGUAGUUGCCACUCAGUGAUGAGCACAAUGUGGUGCAUCAUCGCUGGGUGAGCAAUUUGGUUCAAUUGUGCUGCUGUGUGAUCAUCAGUGCAAAUCACGGCCUGCUCAUUUAUUAAGCAAUUUCUGUUGGAGAAAAUUAGAAGGGAGACUCAUAAUUGGGCAGGAGAUAGUAAUACCUCUAAAAGCAACGAUAAUGGAUGAUGUGGCUGACAUCAAACAAAAGGAGCAAGCGAGUUAAGCCCGCAGCAACCCAUCAGGGAGGUGUGUAGCAUUGGGAAUGAAGCACCCCCCUUUGGUGUCCACCAGGAUUGUGUGUGUGUUUGUGUGUGGGGGGGGUGAAGGGUGAAGGGAGGGGGGGGGGGGGUGUAGCACAGACCAGAGUGACAAGGACUCACUCCCUGGAUGCGAGAACGAGUCACUCCGUAGGACGCUCGCAGGAUCCAUCCGUUGGCCUUAGCUUGACCUUUUGCUCCGACGGUGGCUAAUGGAGGGCUGGCCCUCGAUCAAUGCGCCGAGAGAUUGGGUUCGUUCCUCGUCCCCUUUCACCGGGCCGGGAGAAGGGCCGGCUGCUGCCAGGAGCCACGCCGCGAAGCCAUCGACCCCGCCGCUCUCCCAUCCUGUGGGUGACAGCUGCGGUGCCAACGAGCCCGGGGAAGCCACGCAGCCCUGCCACGUAGGAAGGACAGCCGGCGACUCCGUCUCCGUGGUGUCGGGAGGGAAAGUCACUGAUGAUCUGUUCGUGAAUGUCAGAUCUCCAUGUAAACAACCCCAGCAAACGCUUUGCUAUUGAGUAUGUGUUGAUAUGGAUGAAAACUGAAGAUUUGACUCGUCGAAGUGAUGUUUUUUAAUGCCAUUGUAUCCAGAUUUAAUAUGUGGCUCAUGAGGGUGUAAAAGUGUUUUAAAUCAGCAAACGCAAGCUUCAAAUGGACAGAUUCCAGCUGCUUGAUUUAAUAGAAGUCGAGUACAGGUGAUUACAUCUGGAUAAUACCGUUUUCAAAAGCUAAAAAAUGUUUUGUCAGUAUAAGAAUUGAUCAAAUAAAGCCUGACUCCAAGUGUUAGAAGUUGUUUGCAUUACUUUUGCACUUCAAAUGUUACCGUAGGGAAUAGCUUUCUUUUUUCUCAUGAAAGUUGCACUUUACAACCCAGAUGGUGCACCACUGUAUACCUUUAAUCUGCUCUUUUCUGUCAAUAAACAACGCCUGCAUUAAACGCACAAAACAAUAUUUACUGUGAAUUUUAAUUGCAAAUACUGCAAUUCGAACAUGUAAAGAUAUUCAAAACAAUAGCGGCAUAAUACAUUCAGUCCAUAUGGAGCGAGAGGAAGAGACAACCAAGAGGUUUCGCGCCGAUUGUUCUUUUUAUUAUCAUUAACAGUAAUGUGAUUCUGAAGCCUCCCGUGACCUCCUCACAGCAGCAUCUCAUCUCAGAAGUCAUUCAUUAGAACAAACAGAAGGCUGGCAGAAAGACUGCGAGAAAGAGACAUGGGGAGGGAGCAUAGUGUAAAAUAAAUUAAAUUGUGUUUAUUAGAUGAACCACUAUGAGCCGGCAAAAGAAAGCACGCUUCAGAUAUUCAAAGGAUUUAUCAUUGUGCCGUGUUUGGAGACGCAGCUGCCGCGUGGAGCCCGUGAUCCAGCUGUUGGUCUUGCGCAAUGUGUAAUCACAGUUACACUUACUGUCCAUUUUGUGUUGUAAGGUCCACAGGGAGUCUUGCAACAUGCUUCUGAGCGGUGCGUGUUUGGAUUGAGAUACAGCGUUUCUGUUCAAGACCAUAGUCGGCUGCAGGCUGUGGUGAAACUAAUCAGAAAGCUUCUUAUGUCUUCUUCCACUGAUACAACUGGAUUCUGGCCCAGUGUUUACUGAGUACGAUUCCUUAAACCGGAGUGACGGCAAAGGCCACCUCUCUCAAUGAAGUCCCCUCGGUUCCUGCUCGGCGAGAGCAGUCAGGCGGCGCCUCUUAUCGUACCAGUCCCGUCACGAUCGACCUCUAUACAUGUCCGCGUGUGCAUAUGCGAGGAUAAAAUGGGAUACGGAGCGGUCAGAGGCUCGGUUGGGCCAGGGUGACGGAAAGGGGGGGGACGGGCAUGCGGAUCCUUGGAGUGGUGUGACAGACUCCCCAGCCUCCUGGUAGGAUUUGUUGGAAUGUGAGAGAGGAGGAUUUUAGCACCAGGCGAGGCACGCCAGAGUGCUGCAGACUUCAUGCCAUCUGUCUCAGCCUCCAUCCUCUCUUUGCCAAACUCAUCAGACCUUUAUUUCCUCUCCCUCCGUCUCCUUCUCAUCCCCGUUCACAAGAGUAGCGGACAUACUGAGAUCUGCUAAUGUACUGGAGGGAGAAAAAAAUGGCUGAGCUUGAUGAACAGAUUAAAAAAAAAAUCUCGAUUGAUUAAUAUGUAUUUUUGGAGCUAAUUGUCCGACAGCCCUCGUGGAGAUGAAAUGUGUGUUCGAUAGUCCUGCCAUUUGUUACUGUUCAGGGAACAGGGAACGAGAGAUGGAGAUAUUCAUUCCAUAGCAGAUCUGUUGAUCAGUAAUAAUGAAAUGUGUUUCAAGUGACAGCCAAAAAGUUAAUGCAUCAUUAUAAACAAUUACCUUAAUUAACUUUUGUGUCACACUGUAUCACGC